CCUACGGGAGGCAGCAGUGGGGAAUAUUGGACAAUGGGCGAAAGCCUGAUCCAGCAAUGCCGCGUGAGUGAUGAAGGCCUUAGGGUUGUAAAGCUCUUUUACCAGGGAUGAUAAUGACAGUACCUGGAGAAUAAGCUCCGGCUAACUCCGUGCCAGCAGCCGCGGUAAUACGGAGGGAGCUAGCGUUGUUCGGAAUUACUGGGCGUAAAGCGUACGUAGGCGGUUAUUCAAGUCAGAGGUGAAAGCCCGGGGCUCAACCCCGGAACGGCCUUUGAAACUAGGUAGCUAGAGUCUUGGAGAGGUUAGUGGAAUUCCGAGUGUAGAGGUGAAAUUCGUAGAUAUUCGGAAGAACACCAGUGGCGAAGGCGACUAACUGGACAAGUACUGACGCUGAGGUACGAAAGCGUGGGGAGCAAACAGGAUUAGAUACCCUGGUAGUCCACGCCGUAAACGAUGAUAACUAGCUGUUCGGGCACUUGGUGCCUGAGUGGCGCAGCUAACGCAUUAAGUUAUCCGCCUGGGGAGUACGGUCGCAAGAUUAAAACUCAAAUGAAUUGACGG
rnacentral:rRNA from 1 species